GGAGAGGUGCCGGAGUGGUCGAUCGGGGCGGUCUCGAAAACCGUUGUACCCUAUGGGUACCGUGGGUUCGAAUCCCACCCUCUCCGCCA
rnacentral:tRNA from 1 species